rnacentral:rRNA from 1 species
GAUGGACGCUAGCUACAGGCUUAACACAUGCAAGUCGAGGGGAAACGACAUCGAAAGCUUGCUUUUGAUGGGCGUCGACCGGCGCACGGGUGAGUAACGCGUAUCCAACCUGCCCAUCACUUGGGGAUAACCUUGCGAAAGUAAGACUAAUACCCAAUGAUAUCUCUAGAAGACAUCUGAAAGAGAUUAAAGAUUUAUCGGUGAUGGAUGGGGAUGCGUCUGAUUAGCUUGUUGGCGGGGUAACGGCCCACCAAGGCAACGAUCAGUAGGGGUUCUGAGAGGAAGGUCCCCCACAUUGGAACUGAGACACGGUCCAAACUCCUACGGGAGGCAGCAGUGAGGAAUAUUGGUCAAUGGGCGAGAGCCUGAACCAGCCAAGUAGCGUGCAGGAAGACGGCCCUAUGGGUUGUAAACUGCUUUUAUAAGGGAAUAAAGUGAGAGUCGUGACUCUUUUUGUAUGUACCUUAUGAAUAAGGACCGGCUAAUUCCGUG